UACGUAGGGGGCAAGCGUUGUCCGGAAUUAUUGGGCGUAAAGAGCUCGUAGGCGGUUCGUCGCGUCGGCUGUGAAAUCCCGGAGCUCAACUCCGGGUCUGCAGUCGAUACGGGCGGACUCGAGUUCGGCAGGGGAGACUGGAAUUCCUGGUGUAGCGGUGAAAUGCGCAGAUAUCAGGAGGAACACCAACGGCGAAGGCAGCUCGCUGGGACGGUACUGACGCUGAGACGCGAAAGCGUGGGGAGCGAACAGG
rnacentral:rRNA from 1 species